UCACUAAUCAAGCCUGGCUUGCUGUUGGACCUCUUGUCGUUAACAGACAGGUUCCAAAGAUAAUGACGGCGUCAAUUGGACCCUAGAUGCAACGAGCUUUCAUUAGCACGCAUGUUAGAAGCCUUUUGACCCGGUCUUUAACCAAUUUUCUCAGG
rnacentral:misc_RNA from 1 species